UAGAGUUUGAUCCUGGCUCAGAACUAACGCUGGCGGCGCGUCUUAAACAUGCAAGUCGAACGGUAGUCCUUGAGCUUGCUUAGGGAUGAGAGUGGCGAACGGGUGAGUAACACGUGGAUAAUCUGCCUCCGGGUUGGGGAUAACUGUCCGAAAGGGCAGCUAAUACCGAAUGAGAUGGUGGUUACAUAAGUAGCAGCCAUUAAAGGUGGGGACCGCAAGGCCUACUGCCUGGAGAUGAGUCCGCGGCUGAUUAGCUUGUUGGUGGGGUAACGGCCUACCAAGGCGACGAUCAGUAGCCGGCCUGAGAGGGUGAACGGCCACAUUGGGACUGAGAUACGGCCCAGACUCCUACGGGAGGCAGCAGUUAAGAAUCUUGCACAAUGGGCGCAAGCCUGAUGCAGCGACGCCGCGUGAAUGAUGAAGGCUUUAGGGUUGUAAAGUUCAGUAAGCAGGGAAGAAUAAGCAUCGGGUAAUAUUCGGUGUGAUGACGGCACCUGCCUAAAGCCCCGGCUAACUACGUGCCAGCAGCCGCGGUAAUACGUAUGGGGCGAGCGUUGUUCGGAAUUAUUGGGCGUAAAGGGCGUCUAGGCGGGAAAUUAAGUUAGGUGUGAAAGCUAUGGGCUCAACCCAUAAACUGCAUCUAAAACUGAUUUUCUUGAGUUCGGGAGAGGAGAGCGGAAUUCCAGGUGUAGCGGUGAAAUGCGUAGAUAUCUGGAAGAACACCAGUGGCGAAGGCGGCUCUCUGGCCUAGAACUGACGCUGAAGCGCGAAAGCGUGGGGAGCGAACAGGAUUAGAUACCCUGGUAGUCG
rnacentral:rRNA from 1 species